GGUGGUGAUGCAACUGGGGGCUUACUCUGAGGAAACCUAGGAAAUCUCGGUGUACUAGGAAGUGAAUCCUGCAGGACAGCUGCACUCAGGGAUACGCCCAACACCAUGGCCAGGGUCAAAGGUGAAGAAAGCAAGCUCACUGCCUGCACACGGAGAUUGUCUUUCUGCCACAGAACAGCUGCAAACGUGCCAGGAGGUUAGCUGAGAAAGAAAUCGGGCUGCUGCGGAGCACAGAGUGACUUGGAACUCCAUUCCACCUGACCCUGUGUGUACAAUCCAGGAAAACAAACCCCGAUCAGAAACAGAGAAAAUUGGGGCCGCGAAGAACUCACAGCCACGGAAGAGUUGUUGCAUUCAGAUUCUCGAGAAACAUUUGUUGCUCGGCAACAGUACUGGUCGGGUUGACCAGUUAAGUACCAAAAGGCUAUGCUGUAUGAAUUUCAGAAAUGGACUGAAAAAAAUGGGAGAGCAGUGUAAUAGACACACACUACAUUGGAAGAACUUGACUUCUGAAAUGAAGAGAAAAGCACCUAUGGAUCCCACUCCUUCCCAUCGCUUACCUGUUCCCCUGCUCCCCUGCUCCCCGUUGACCCGCCCUGGUAGAUUAGCUGGCUGUCAGACUCACUUUUAUUUCAAUCCUUACACUUCAUAAACUUUUGUCUCCACAUUGUUACCAUAUUUGGAGACAGAAACAGGAGCUUCUCCAAAUCCAAUGAGAACAUGGAAAAUUCAAGGAUUGUUUAAAGGUCUGUGAUCAUCACAUACAAGAUGUAACUCUGGUUAUUUCAGUCAUAUCUGUGACUCUAUCAUGUACAGUUUCCUGAAUUGUCACUGUGCAUCCAAACGUAAUGAGUCUAACAGACACUGAUUUCAUGUGCACUCCCCUCUGCUUACAAUGUGCAUUUUUUGGAGGUCAUUCAAAUUUUCCCUCUUCUGUGAUUGCUGUAGUUUCUUUCAUAGAAAGUAGCUGAUCUGAUGUAAUCUUUUACCUUUUAAACAACCAGGAUAGAGAACCUAUUGGAGUUUGAGUUGUUGAUGACAGGUUCACAAUAAAGUGAUGUUCUGGUGGAGG
rnacentral:lncRNA from 1 species